GGGUUGUGAGGUUAAGCGACUAAGCGUACACGGUGGAUGCCCUGGCAGUCAGAGGCGAUGAAGGACGUGCUAAUCUGCGAUAAGCGCCGGUAAGGUGAUAUGAACCGUUAUAACCGGCGAUUUCCGAAUGGGGAAACCCAGUGUGACUCGUCACACUAUCAUUAACUGAAUCCAUAGGUUAAUGAGGCGAACCGGGGGAACUGAAACAUCUAAGUACCCCGAGGAAAAGAAAUCAACCGAGAUUCCCCCAGUAGCGGCGAGCGAACGGGGAGGAGCCCAGAGCCUGAAUCAGCAUGUGUGUUAGUGGAAGCGUCUGGAAAGGCGCGCGAUACAGGGUGACAGCCCCGUACACAAAAGCGCAUGUGCUGUGAGCUCGAUGAGUAGGGCGGGACACGUGGUAUCCUGUCUGAAUAUGGGGGGACCAUCCUCCAAGGCUAAAUACUCCUGACUGACCGAUAGUGAACCAGUACCGUGAGGGAAAGGCGAAAAGAACCCCGGCGAGGGGAGUGAAAAAGAACCUGAAACCGUGUACGUACAAGCAGUGGGAGCACCCUUUUGGGUGUGACUGCGUACCUUUUGUAUAAUGGGUCAGCGACUUAUAUUCUGUAGCAAGGUUAACCGAAUAGGGGAGCCGGAGGGAAACCGAGUCUUAACCGGGCGUUAAGUUGCAGGGUAUAGACCCGAAACCCGGUGAUCUAGCCAUGGGCAGGUUGAAGGUUGGGUAACACUAACUGGAGGACCGAACCGACUAAUGUUGAAAAAUUAGCGGAUGACCUGUGGCUGGGGGUGAAAGGCCAAUCAAACCGGGAGAUAGCUGGUUCUCCCCGAAAGCUAUUUAGGUAGCGCCUCGUGAAUUCAUCUCCGGGGGUAGAGCACUGUUUCGGCUAGGGGGCCAUCCCGGCUUACCAACCCGAUGCAAACUGCGAAUACCGGAGAAUGUUAUCACGGGAGACACACGGCGGGUGCUAACGUCCGUCGUGAAGAGGGAAACAACCCAGACCGCCAGCUAAGGUCCCAAAGUCAUGGUUAAGUGGGAAACGAUGUGGGAAGGCCCAGACAGCCAGGAUGUUGGCUUAGAAGCAGCCAUCAUUUAAAGAAAGCGUAAUAGCUCACUGGUCGAGUCGGCCUGCGCGGAAGAUGUAACGGGGCUAAACCAUGCACCGAAGCUGCGGCAGCGACACUAUGUGUUGUUGGGUAGGGGAGCGUUCUGUAAGCCUGUGAAGGUGGCCUGUGAGGGUUGCUGGAGGUAUCAGAAGUGCGAAUGCUGACAUAAGUAACGAUAAAGCGGGUGAAAAGCCCGCUCGCCGGAAGACCAAGGGUUCCUGUCCAACGUUAAUCGGGGCAGGGUGAGUCGACCCCUAAGGCGAGGCCGAAAGGCGUAGUCGAUGGGAAACGGGUUAAUAUUCCCGUACUUGGUGUUACUGCGAAGGGGGGACGGAGAAGGCUAUGUUGGCCGGGCGACGGUUGUCCCGGUUUAAGCGUGUAGGCUGGUUUUCCAGGCAAAUCCGGAAAAUCAAGGCUGAGGCGUGACGACGAGGCACUACGGUGCUGAAGCAACAAAUGCCCUGCUUCCAGGAAAAGCCUCUAAGCAUCAGGUAACAUCAAAUCGUACCCCAAACCGACACAGGUGGUCAGGUAGAGAAUACCAAGGCGCUUGAGAGAACUCGGGUGAAGGAACUAGGCAAAAUGGUGCCGUAACUUCGGGAGAAGGCACGCUGACAUGUAGGUGAAGUGAUUUACUCAUGGAGCUGAAGUCAGUCGAAGAUACCAGCUGGCUGCAACUGUUUAUUAAAAACACAGCACUGUGCAAACACGAAAGUGGACGUAUACGGUGUGACGCCUGCCCGGUGCCGGAAGGUUAAUUGAUGGGGUCAGCGCAAGCGAAGCUCCUGAUCGAAGCCCCGGUAAACGGCGGCCGUAACUAUAACGGUCCUAAGGUAGCGAAAUUCCUUGUCGGGUAAGUUCCGACCUGCACGAAUGGCGUAAUGAUGGCCAGGCUGUCUCCACCCGAGACUCAGUGAAAUUGAACUCGCUGUGAAGAUGCAGUGUACCCGCGGCAAGACGGAAAGACCCCGUGAACCUUUACUAUAGCUUGACACUGAACAUUGAGCCUUGAUGUGUAGGAUAGGUGGGAGGCUUUGAAGUGUGGACGCCAGUCUGCAUGGAGCCGACCUUGAAAUACCACCCUUUAAUGUUUGAUGUUCUAACGUGGACCCGUGAUCCGGGUUGCGGACAGUGUCUGGUGGGUAGUUUGACUGGGGCGGUCUCCUCCUAAAGAGUAACGGAGGAGCACGAAGGUUGGCUAAUCCUGGUCGGACAUCAGGAGGUUAGUGCAAUGGCAUAAGCCAGCUUGACUGCGAGCGUGACGGCGCGAGCAGGUGCGAAAGCAGGUCAUAGUGAUCCGGUGGUUCUGAAUGGAAGGGCCAUCGCUCAACGGAUAAAAGGUACUCCGGGGAUAACAGGCUGAUACCGCCCAAGAGUUCAUAUCGACGGCGGUGUUUGGCACCUCGAUGUCGGCUCAUCACAUCCUGGGGCUGAAGUAGGUCCCAAGGGUAUGGCUGUUCGCCAUUUAAAGUGGUACGCGAGCUGGGUUUAGAACGUCGUGAGACAGUUCGGUCCCUAUCUGCCGUGGGCGCUGGAGAACUGAGGGGGGCUGCUCCUAGUACGAGAGGACCGGAGUGGACGCAUCACUGGUGUUCGGGUUGUCAUGCCAAUGGCACUGCCCGGUAGCUAAAUGCGGAAGAGAUAAGUGCUGAAAGCAUCUAAGCACGAAACUUGCCCCGAGAUGAGUUCUCCCUGAGACUUAAAGUCUCCUGAAGGAACGUUGAAGACGACGACGUUGAUAGGCCGGGUGUGUAAGCGCAGCGAUGCGUUGAGCUAACCGGUACUAAUGAACCGUGAGGCUUAACCUUACAACGCCGAAG
rnacentral:rRNA from 1 species